rnacentral:snRNA from 1 species
AUUCUCUCUUCUCACUCACUCUCUCUCAAGAUCGCCAGGGUUGAUUCAGUUGAUCUGGCUGGCUAGGUGGGCGUCCCCUUCCUCCCUCACCUCUCCAUGUGUGUCCCUCCAGAAGCUGUGUGCUUGGUCGAAGAGGAUGACUUUCCCAGAUAGAGGAGGACCGCUCUUCAGUCAAGGGUAUAUGAGUAGCUGCACUCCCCUGCUAGAACCUCCAAACAAGCUCUCAAAAUAAAUAAAUAAACUUAAAUAAUUUUUUAAAAUAAAUAAAUAAAUGUGUGGAGAAUACCAU